rnacentral:rRNA from 1 species
ACUACGGGUGGCAGCAGUGGGGAAUAUUGGGCAAUGGGCGCAAGCCUGACCCAGCAACGCCGCGUGAAGGAAGAAGGCUUUCGGGUUGGAAACUUCUUUUGACAGGGAAGAGUAGAAGACGGUACCUGACGAAUAAGCCGCGGCUAAAUACGAGCCAGCAGCCGCGGAAAUACGUAGUUGGCAAGCGUUGUCCGGGUUUACUGGUUGUAAAGGGCGUGUAGCCGGGUUGGCAAGUCAGAUGUGAUAUCCUGCGGCUUAACCGUAGAACUGCGUUUGAAACUGUGACUCUUGAGUACUGGAGAGGCAGGUGGAAUUCCGAGUGUAGAGGGGAAAUGCGUAGAUAUUAGGAGGAACACCAGUGGCGAAGGCGGUCUACUGGACAGCAACUGACGGUGAGGCGCGAAAGCGUGGGGAGCAAACAGGAUUAGAUACCCCUGUAGUC